rnacentral:rRNA from 1 species
GUGGGGAAUUUUGGACAAUGGGCGCAAGCCUGAUCCAGCAAUGCCGCGUGCAGGAAGAAGGCCUUCGGGUUGUAAACUGCUUUUGUACGGAACGAAACGGUCCUGGCUAAUAUCCGGGGCUAAUGACGGUACCGUAAGAAUAAGCACCGGCUAACUACGUGCCAGCAGCCGCGGUAAUACGUAGGGUGCGAGCGUUAAUCGGAAUUACUGGGCGUAAAGCGUGCGCAGGCGGUGCUGUAAGACAGGCGUGAAAUCCCCGGGCUCAACCUGGGAAUUGCGCUUGUGACUGCAGUGCUGGAGUGCGGCAGAGGGGGAUGGAAUUCCGCGUGUAGCAGUGAAAUGCGUAGAUAUGCGGAGGAACACCGAUGGCGAAGGCAAUCCCCUGGGCCUACACUGACGCUCAUGCACGAAAGCGUGGGGAGCAAACAGGAUUAGAUACCCGAGUAGUCC